CUAAAAUGGCCGAAGGUGGUGUAGUCGAGAUGUCGGAAGACACCGAAAAAAUCCCCGAUUGUGCUAAACAAAAGUCAGAAAUCGCAAGUUUGAUGAAGAAAACUCUCAAGAAAGGAGACACUUGGUACCUGUUGGACACUAAGUGGUACAAACAGUGGAAGAAGUAUGUCGGGUAUGAUAGCUGGGACUCGUUCAGUGUCGGAGAACAGAAUUCGCACCCAGGACCAAUGGACAACUGUCCACUUGUCAAAGAGGAGGAAGGGGGUCUGAAACCACAUCUGAUAGAGGAGCUGGACUACAUGCUUCUACCAGAGGAGGCUUGGGACAAAAUGCUUGCCUGGUAUGGUUUAGCAAAGGAACAGGAAUCCAUAUGUCGUGGUGUUAUUGAGCAGGGAACAUUUGUAAAACACUUCAAGGUGGAGGUGUACCUGCUGGAUGUAAAACUGUGUCGGAACUCUGACCUGGAAACUGUGAUAACCAAACAAUUUAGUAGAGUCGCUACAAUAGAAAAUAUUGAGAAGGAAAUGAGAAAUACGUUUGAAAUCCCGGAGGAGAAGGAAGUGAGGUUAUGGAAUAAGUACAUGGCCAGUACAUAUGAGCAUCUAAACAAACCGGAGCACACACUACAGGAAGCUGGACUCUACACAGGACAGACGAUUGUGAUAGAGGAGAAGAAUGAAGAUGGGACUUGGCCAAGACAGGCUAAAAGUACCAGUACUUACACGUCAACCUCUACUAGUACAAACUCGAGAUCCAAUAGUGUAGGGAGUUCCAGUCAUGAGUCGAGUUCUGGCUACGGUGGGAGUGGAGGGACCUCAUACAACAGUUAUUACAACAGCUCCAGUAGCUACGAACCAGGGCGGGGCCAUGCCACCCCAGGGCUGUGUGGGCUAGCCAAUUUAGGCAACACUUGCUUCAUGAACUCUGCCCUACAGUGUAUGAGUAAUGUGCCUAUGCUGACCCAGUACUUUCUCAAUGAUGAAUGGGUGGAUGAAGUGAAUGAGGACAAUCCUCUGGGCAUGAGAGGUGAAAUUGCUCGUUCAUUUGCAGAGCUUGUCAAAACACUCUGGUCUGGCAAGUACAGCUACACAGCUCCACGGAACUUCAAGUACGCAGUGGGCAGAUUUGCGCCGCAGUUCUCUGGUUUCCAACAACAGGACUCACAAGAGCUGAUGGCAUUUCUACUGGAUGGCCUUCACGAAGACCUGAACAGGAUCCGUCAAAAACCCUAUAUAGAGAUGAAAGACAAUGACGAGCGGCCAGAUACGGAUGUAGCGAAGGAAUCGUGGGAAAACUACAGGAAGAGGAACGAUUCUGUGAUAGUAGAUACUUUUCACGGACUUCUAAAGUCCACUGUACAUUGUCCUGAGUGUGCUAAAAUUUCUGUAACUUUUGACCCCUUCUGUUACCUCUCUUUACCACUCCCAAUCAAAAAGGAGCGACAGCUGGAAGUGUUCUGGGUCCCUCUUAACCCCCAGAAGAAACCUGUACAGUUCAAACUAACCGUGCCAAAAAUGGGAACUGUACUGGAUUUGUGCAAUGCACUAUCAAAUCAUGUGCAGGCUGAUCCAGACAAAAUGGCAGUAACAGAUGUGUAUAGUCAUAGGUUCCAUAAAGUUUUCUCUCAUGAUGACACGCUCAACAAUAUACUAGACAGGGAUGAUAUAUUUGUAUAUGAAGUCCCUGUAGCUUGGGAUGACCCAGACACGGUCAUUGUGCCCAUAUACAUGAGAGAGAAGAGAGUGAAGAACCAGUAUUCUAGUUACCAGAUGUCUACGUACCAGCUGUUCGGUCAGCCCCUCCUCCUUCCUGUCCCACGACGGGAAUGCACCUACCAGGUCCUGUACAACCAGCUCCUACAGAGGGUCUCGCGGUAUGUGAAGGUUCCAGAGAAUGCAGGUAGUUGGUGGAAGGACGAGGAGGAGCAGGACGGACAAAUGUCAGACUGUAACAAAGGAAAGGAUAACAAACAAGUCAACAGUGAUGAGGAGAUCACAAAAGAAAAUGGGAUGGCUGUGGAAAACAAACAGAAGCAAGUCAAUGGAGAAGCUAAUGAAAUGGAAAUAUCUGCUGCGAAUGGGAACAAAGAAAGUGAAACGGAUGAUAAACAAACAAUUAGCAGUGAAAACACAGACACAAGUGCUGUUGCUAACAUAGAACCACCGCCAUUGUUUAAAUUUAGGAUGGUAAAUUCUUAUGGAAGUGCAGAAAUAGACCACAAAUUGAAAAAUGACGGAAAUCCUCUACGUUUGCAUAAUCGUACACAUAUAGCCGUGGACUGGCACCCUCUAGCAAAGGACAAAUUCUAUGAUGAACAGGCAGCAGAGGACUUGGAGCAGCAUGAGUCUGUGAAACAGAGGCUGCAGAGGAAACAGGUGCUACAACUGGACGACUGUCUGGAGCUCUUUACACGUAUUGAACAGCUGGGUGAAAAUGACCUCUGGUAUUGUCCACAAUGUAAAAAGCACCAACAAGCUACAAAGAAAUUUGACCUGUGGUCAUUGCCAGAUGUGCUCAUCAUUCACCUGAAGAGGUUCUCCUACAACCGUUACUACCGUGACAAGAUUGACACGCUCAUUGAGUUCCCUUACAACGGGUUAAAUCUGAAAAAAUACAUAAUCAACAAAGAUGAUGGGACCAUGACCUACGACCUGAUCGCGGUCACCAAUCAUUAUGGAGGAUUGGGCGGUGGUCACUACACAGCCUAUGGGAAAAGUGUAGAUGAUAAUGAGUGGCACUAUUUUGACGAUUCCAGUGUGUCGUCCGCCUCGGAGGAGGAUGUUACGUCUAAGGCUGCCUACGUCCUUGUGUAUCAGAAGCAAGGGACAAACCCCAAACCAGCCAAGUGUAAUAGGACUUCUCACGCUGCUGGAGGGGCCAUGGAAAACAGCAUCAACAGUCUCAGUGAUGAGGAGAUGGAAACCACAUAGAACAUUGCUUUACCUUGAAGGUGUUGACCUUGGGAUUUGACCUUAAAAGGUGACCUUGACAUUUGAUCUAGGGAUGCAAAUGAUAGGGUUGACCUUGGAUGUGAUAGGAUACUAGUGUCCACAGUUGUACAAAAAGGAACUGAGAAACCAACAUGGACAAAAAAGGGAGUACACAACAUUGACAGGCAGCACAGACAAUAUCCCUGUGAGUGGAAGUCGUACAGCGGGUUGGUUGUUCUUACAUAGACUUUAUAAAGACAAUAAGUGAGGAAACAUAGUGUUCCACCCUAGCCUGAUUAAUGGAGCUGAUGUGUGUUACAGGUGUGUGAUCAGAAUAAAGAGUGGUGUUUACUUCUAUUGAACUAUAGAAUGUUGUAUUUCAUAGAUUCUGUGCCCAUACAGAUGGGACUAACAACAGGUUCCCACUGUGUGAUUAGGAUGAUUGAAAUACCUUGUAAUAGAGAGUUCCACAUGCAAGCAGGUCAUGUAUAUCCUCAAUAAAUAUUUGAUCCACUUUAAAAAUGUUCACCUGUUCAGUUUUUAUGAGGACAGUCCAUGUGUGUCUUGGUGAAUAUAACAUGUAUCUGUCCUAUUAAGUGCAGCCAUUGUCUUUUCUGGCAAGACUGUGUCUGUCCUAUUGAGGACAACCCUAGUUUGUCCUACUUUGUUUCCUUCUGAAGACAACCCUUACAUGUCCUGCUGUGGCAAGUCUGGCCUAGUAAGGACAACCUUAAAUGUCCUACUGUGGCAAGUCUGGCCUAGUAAAGACAUCCUUAAAUGUCCUACUGUGGCAAGUCUGGCCUAGUAAGGACAACCUUAAAUGUCCUACUGUGGCAAGUCUGGCCUAGUAAGGACAACCCUUACGUGUCCCACUGUGUCUAGCCUGUAUCUGCCCUUUUGAAAACCAGUGUUGCCCUUUGUUAUGUACCGAGUGGGGUAAACAGAUAUAUGCUAAAAGAGUGUUGAUAUGUUGACUGAUGUACUAGAAAUUAUAUAGUUAUUCCAUGUUUUACUUGUGGAUAGAACACCUUCAUGUACUCUGUAUUAUAUACAAUAAGUUUAUGUAUUGUGUAAAUAUGUUGGAUCCUAUGUACAUAUUUGAAUAAACACUUGAUUGUAUCAUAUUGGUACAUGUAUGGGAAUUAACCAUAUUGGAGGGCUUGGAGGCACUUUUUAGAGGCCCCGCAUGCCAUUGAAUAUCAGAACUGAUUUAUAUUAAGAAUGGUGGGCAGAUUUUGAACUAACCCCAUUGUUAUUUAGUGAUACAAGUGAUGCUGACCUCCCUGCUAUUGUUAUUUAGUGAUACAGGUGAUACUGACCUCCCUACUAUUGUUAUUUAGUGAUACAGGUGAUGCUGACCUCCCUGCUAUUGUUAUUUAGUGAUACAGGUGAUACUGACCUCCCUGCUAUUGUUAUUUAGUGAUACAGGUGAUGCUGACCUCCCUGCUAUUGUUAUUUAGUGAUACAGGUGAUGCUGACCUCCCUGCUAUUGUUAUUUAGUGAUACAGGUGAUGCUGACCUCCCUGCUAUUGUUAUUUAGUGAUACAGGUGAUGCUGACCUCCCUGCUAUUGUUAUUUAGUGAUACAGGUGAUGCUGACCUCCCUGCUAUUGUUAUUUAGUGAUACAGGUGAUGCUGACCUCCCUGCUAUUGUUAUUUAGUGAUACAGGUGAUGCUGACCUCCCUGCUAUUGUUAUUUAGUGAUACAGGUGAUGCUGACCUCCCUGCUAUUGUUAUUUAGUGAUACAGGUGAUGCUGACCUCCCUGCUAUUGUUAUUUAGUGAUACAGGUGAUGCUGACCUCCCUGCUAUUGUUAUUUAGUGAUACAGGUGAUGCUGACCUCCCUGCUAUUGUUAUUUAGUGAUACAGGUGAUGCUGACCUCCCUGCUAUUGUUAUUUAGUGAUACAGGUGAUGCUGACCUCCCUGCUAUUGUUAUUUAGUGAUACAGGUGAUGCUGACCUCCCUGCUAUUGUUAUUUAGUGAUACAGGUGAUGCUGACCUCCCUGCUAUUGUUAUUUAGUGAUACAGGUGAUGCUGACCUCCCUGCUAUUGUUAUUUAGUGAUACAGGUGAUGCUGACCUCCCUGCUAUUGUUAUUUAGUGAUACAGGUGAUGCUGACCUCCCUGCUAUUGUUAUUUAGUGAUACAGGUGAUGCUGACCUCCCUGCUAUUGUUAUUUAGUGAUACAGGUGAUGCUGACCUCCCUGCUAUUGUUAUUUAGUGAUACAGGUGAUGCUGACCUCCCUGCUAUUGUUAUUUAGUGAUACAGGUGAUGCUGACCUCCCUGCUAUUGUUAUUUAGUGAUACAGGUGAUGCUGACCUCCCUGCUAUUGUUAUUUAGUGAUACAGGUGAUGCUGACCUCCCUGCUAUUGUUAUUUAGUGAUACAGGUGAUGCUGACCUCCCUGCUAUUGUUAUUUAGUGAUACAGGUGAUGCUGACCUCCCUGCUAUUGUUAUUUAGUGAUACAGGUGAUGCUGACCUCCCUGCUAUUGUUAUUUAGUGAUACAGGUGAUGCUGACCUCCCUGCUAUUGUUAUUUAGUGAUACAGGUGAUACUGACCUCCCUACUAUUGUUAUUUAGUGAUACAGGUGAUGCUGACCUCCCUGCUAUUGCUUAUACUUAAAUAUCCCUUACUGUCAUACUCUUGUUUUUCAAAAUGAUGUCCAUUUAAAAUGUGGAGGUUUUCGUUCAAAGAGGAUGAAAACAAGUUUGCCCCAAUAUUAUAACAUAAUCAUCAAACCUAAACAAUGCGGUCAGAAACUCUAGGUUAGAUGUUAAUACCAGGAAUUAUAUAGGGUUAAAUCAGUUUGACAGAUUUGAUCAGUGUAUGAAUUAAAGUUGUAUACAGGGCAAAUGUUUACCAGUAUAACCUGAUAGGUAAGUUAUGAUAGCUGUCUUGAAUAGACAUAGAAGUUUGUAAAGAUGGUAUGUACCCUUUAUAAUGAGGUCUGUAUAGACAGCAAUAAGUCAGUUACAGACAAGGUGUGACCUCUACGGAAACAAAACUGUUCCUUACAACACUAGCUGGAUAGAGGAACAGCUGAAAUAGUGGAGGCUGGAUAAAUGUGGUUUUGUUGUAUGUAGGGUGACGAUCCGUGGAGGCUGGAUUAACGUGGUUUUGUUGUAUGGAGGCUAAAGAUUGGUUAAUCCUACAAGUUUGUAUGUAUGUCGGGUCACUCAUCUGUUGGGGUUAUACUGUGUCUGUGACUGUCUGCUUGUUGGGGUUAUACUGUGUCUGUGACUGUCUGCUUGUUGGGGUUAUACCGUGUCUGUGACUGUCUGCUUGUUGGGGUUAUACUGUGUCAGUGACUGUCUGCUUGUUACAUUUAAUUUAUUAAUAUUUGUUUUCUGACAGUGGUUUGUAUUUUUGUUUUCAUCAAUAAAAGACAGAUCUGCCAUUAUUUAGACGCCACAUGAAAUAAUAACAUGCCAGAUAAGAAACAGUUGAAUCCGGUUAGUUCAGAGAAUAUUUUUCAAUCAAAGUCCGUUGUAACUGAGUUCAGAUUAGUACACUUCCCAGGAUUAACAACAGUACUGGAUUGCUAAUACAGGCUCUGUAUCA
rnacentral:misc_RNA from 1 species